rnacentral:rRNA from 1 species
ACCUGCGGAAGGAUCAUUAUUGAAUAAAGCUUGGUUAGGUUGUCGCUGGCUCUCUGGGGCAUGUGCACGCCUGACGCCAAUCUUUUCACCACCUGUGCACAUUUUGUAGGCUUGGAUAAAUAUGUCUCGAGGAAGCUCGGUUUGAGGACUGCCGUGCUGCAAAAGCCAGGCUUUCCUUGUAUUUUUCCAGCCUAUGCAUUUUAUUAUACACUCGGUAUGUCAUGGAAUGUUAUUUGGUUGGCUUAAUUGCCAGUAAACCUUAUACAACUUUCAACAACGGAUCUCUUGGCUCUCGCAUCGAUGAAGAACGCAGCGAAAUGCGAUAAGUAAUGUGAAUUGCAGAAUUCAGUGAAUCAUCGAAUCUUUGAACGCACCUUGCGCUCCUUGGUAUUCCGAGGAGCAUGCCUGUUUGAGUGUCAUGAAAUUCUCAACCUUUUCAGCUUUUUGUUGAAUAGGCUUGGAUUUUGGGAGUUGUUGCAGGCUGCUCAGAAGUCUGCUCUCCUUAAAUGUAUUAGCGGGGCCCUUGUUGUCUAGCAUUUGGUGUGAUAAUUAUCUACGCCAUUGUGAACAAUGUAAUAGGUCGGCUUCUAAUCGUCUCGUAAAGAGACAAUCUCUGACAUUUUGACCUCAAAUCAGGUAGGACUACCCGCUGAACUUAAGCAUAUCAAUACGGAGGAAA